rnacentral:rRNA from 1 species
CCUACGGGAGGCAGCAGUGAGGAAUAUUGGUCAAUGGACGAGAGUCUGAACCAGCCAAGUAGCGUGAAGGAUGACUGCCCUAUGGGUUGUAAACUUCUUUUAUAUGGGAAUAAAAUGUUCCACGUGUGGGAUUUUGUAUGUACCAUAUGAAUAAGGAUCGGCUAACUCCGUGCCAGCAGCCGCGGUAAUACGGAGGAUCCGAGCGUUAUCCGGAUUUAUUGGGUUUAAAGGGAGCGUAGGUGGAUUGUUAAGUCAGUUGUGAAAGUUUGCGGCUCAACCGUAAAAUUGCAGUUGAAACUGGCAGUCUUGAGUACAGUAGAGGUGGGCGGAAUUCGUGGUGUAGCGGUGAAAUGCUUAGAUAUCACGAAGAACUCCGAUUGCGAAGGCAGUUCACUGGACUGUAACUGACACUGAGGCUCGAAAGUGGGGGUAUCAAACAGGAUUAGAUACCCCUGUAGUC